GACGAACGCUGGCGGCGUGCUUAACACAUGCAAGUCGAACGGAAAGGCCCUGCUUGCAGGGUACUCGAGUGGCGAACGGGUGAGUAACACGUGGGUGAACUGCCCUGCACUUCGGGAUAAGCCUGGGAAACUGGGUCUAAUACCGGAUAGGAGCCAUUUUUAGUGUGAUGGUUGGAAAGUUUUUUCGGUGUAGGAUGAGCUGGCGGCCUAUCAGCUUGUUGGUGGGGUAAUGGCCUACCAAGGCGGCGACGGGUAGCCGGCCUGAGAGGGUGGACGGCCACAUUGGGACUGAGGUACGGCCCAAGCUCCUACGGGAGGCAGCAGUGGGGAAUAUUGCACAAUGGGCGCAAGCCUGAUGCAGCGACGCCGCGUGGGGGAUGACGGCCUUCGGGUUGUAGACUCCUUUCGCUAGGAACGAAGCUUUUUGUGACGGUACCUAGACAAGAAGCACCGGCUAACUACGUG
rnacentral:rRNA from 1 species